rnacentral:rRNA from 1 species
UAGGGAAUCUUCGGCAAUGGGGGCAACCCUGACCGAGCAACGCCGCGUGAGUGAAGAAGGUUUUCGGAUCGUAAAGCUCUGUUGUAAGAGAAGAACGUGUGUGAGAGUGGAAAGGUCACACAGUGACGGUAACUUACCAGAAAGGGACGGCUAACUACGUGCCAGCAGCCGCGGUAAUACGUAGGUCCCGAGCGUUGUCCGGAUUUAUUGGGCGUAAAGCGAGCGCAGGCGGUUUAAUAAGUCUGAAGUUAAAGGAAGUGGCUUAACCAUUGUUCGCUUUGGAAACUGUUAAACUUGAGUGCAGAAGGGGAGAGUGGAAUUCCAUGUGUAGCGGUGAAAUGCGUAGAUAUAUGGAGGAACACCGGUGGCGAAGGCGGCUCUCUGGUCUGUAACUGACGCUGAGGCUCGAAAGCGUGGGGAGCAAACAGG